UCUCAUCGUUUACAUCCGCUAUAAGAGCUGCCUUUUGCCACUUCAAAAUGACAGAGUGGUCUUCGGACCUUUCUGGUCUUCCCGUGUUGCCUGUAGAUUUCACAGAGCAGUACAGUGCGAGCAAAUCUUCGUCCAACAAGCACAGGAACCGGAGUUAUAAUUUCGUAACCGAGUCGUACGUUCUUGUGUCAACACUACGGACGAAGAAACUACCAAGGGCCAGCUGUUCAGUACGCUCACUGUAGCUGUCCAGCAGGAAGCGGAGGGUACUGCCACCACCUUCUGGCGGUACUACGGGUCCUAUCGAAGCUGAAAAGCCUCGGGUACAAUGAACCGCCGCAAGAACUGGCACCAACGGAACUCCCACAACAAUGGAGGCGACCACGCACAUCAAUGGCACCCGAAAUUGUUAUGAAUGUUAACUGGCGUAGAGUUGCAGAAGGUUGCUCAGAAGCCCCUUUGCCAUGCAGGCUCUAUGACACUCGUAAGCGUGUGCGCACGGAGGACCAAAAGCGAGAGGCCUCACAGACACUAGCAGUCAGGUUACAAGAAGCAGGUUGCAGUACUAGUCUUGUGGAUGUUCUCGGUUCAGCCUCAAGUUGUUCAUUAUACUGCACUGGUUUCCCUUGGGAGACUUCAUGCUGUACAAUCUGGUCCCAUACCAAUCUUCACCUUAUUUAAGGAUGAACCACAGUGGACGCCUCCUCAAGAUGUGGCUCACGUCUCGACUCUGAAGAACAUAUGUUUGUCAGAAGAAGAGGCAAGGGAUAUGGAAAGGGACACCAGGCAGCAGUUCAACAGCUCUCUAUGGCAAAAAGCACGGCUAAAUAGGCUGACAGCAUCAAGAUUCGACAUGGUGCUGAGACGUAAGCAACCGUGGACAAAUGUUGGACUUCGAAAUGUUGUUCGGCCUAAGUCGUUUACGUCAUUAGCGGUGAGGUAUGGAAUUUCAAGCGAGGGGAAAGCAGUUGCCAGGUACACCGAAGUGAUGGAACGUCUUGGCCAUAAUGUCAUGGUUCAGAACUGUGGACUAAUGGUCAGGCCAGGCAGUCCCUGGCUGGCAGCCACACCUGAUCGUGUUAUUUAUGACCAUCAUGAGCAGCCUUCAUAUGGACUGUUGGAGGUGAAAUGCCCCUGGACGAAGAGAUCCACGACUCUGGAGGAUGCCCUCGAAGAUUCCCAGUUCUGUAUAGAAAUUGUGGACGGUAAACCCAGACUGAAGGAGACCAGUGUGUACUACCCCCAGGUCAUGGGGCAAAUGUAUUGUGCAAACAUGAGGUGGAGUCAC